GGGUGGGGGCCAGGGGGGAGGACAUUAAUGUCCUCCCCCCUGGCCCCCACCCCUUAGUGGUGAGUGGGGGCCCUAAACUAGAAUAGGGGGGGCCUAAUGUCUUCCCCCUGGCCCCCACCCCUGAGCGGUGGGUGGGGGCCCUAAGUACAAAUUGGGGGGGACCUAAUGUCCUCCCCCUGGCCCCCACCCCUGAGCGGUGGGUGGGGUCACUAAAUACAAAU